rnacentral:rRNA from 1 species
AUUGAACGCUGGCGGCAGGCCUAACACAUGCAAGUCGAACGAGUGGCGGACGGGUGAGUAAUGUCUGGGAAACUGCCCGAUGGAGGGGGAUAACUACUGGAAACGGUAGCUAAUACCGCAUACCAUCGGAUUUGCCCAGAUGUGAUUAGCUAGUCGGUGGGGUAACGGCUCACCUAGGCGACGAUCCCUAGCUGGUCGUAGAGGAUGACCAGCCAAACGGGAACUGAGAAACGGUCCAUAAUACUACGGGAGGCAGUAUUGGGGAAUAUGGGACAAUGGGCACUAGCCUUAUGAAGGCAUGCCGCGUGUAUGAAGAAGGCCUUCGGGUUGUAAAGUACUUUAAGCGAGGAGGCGUUACUCGAAGAAGAAGCACCGGCUAACUCCGUGCCAGCAGCCGCGGUAAUUC